UGAGAGCUCCUGCACAAUAACAACAAAGAAAAAGGAAAGUCACAGUGUCUUUCAGGAGCAUCCCCCUUCUUCAUGACAGCCAGCCAAACCGGCUACAUGAUUUUUUCUGUUCUUUUUACCAUUACAGCAAGAACACUGCCUUUGCAAGACAGUCAGGAUGAAGCCCUGCAGCCUCAUCACCUCAGUCAGUUUCCAGGCUCAGAGGCACAGUACAGCAACAUCAAGCAAAUGAGGCAACUUCCAUCUUCUCAUCAAUUUGGAAGAAGCACCCAAACCAUUCUGCCACUGGGAUAGGUGGCUACCUGAGAAAGGAAGAUGCAGGGUGGAAAGCAGAUGGAGGAAAAGAGAUGUAUAUCCUUGUGGAAAUCUAGGAAAAACCCACAGCUACUGGAGAAGUAACUGUAGCAGAGUGGUUAAGAUACUUUGCUGUGGAAACCCAAAUCACAAGCUGGCUUCGCACCAAAACACUUUGUAAGAUCAACCUGCGCAUGUAUUUUAUCUUGUUACCUGGCAUGUUACAGUGAAGAUGACAACGCAUACACCACUACAAACCACUGCCUGCAGAAAUCUGUGUCUUCUCAUCCAGUUCAUGCAGCCUACUAUGCUUCUUGAAGUUCAUUAUAAGCCUUAAUAGCAAUUCAAAACUGAAAACACAUACUGCAACAAUACCAAGCUUUCAGAAUUGCCAGAGACCAGCCUACUUCACAGCUCUCUUCAGGUUGUUAUUCAAGAUGGUCUGCUAAAGUUGUUCACUUGCCAGUCGUGUCCACCUAUCCUAUUUCUAGUUUUCAUCUCAUGGUUAUAGUGAUGCAAGGAAAACUGGUGCCUCUCCACAAUGGUUUAGAAAGUAAUUUGUCAUCCAGGGCUAUGACAAAGAUGAUGUUUAUGGUUUCAUGCAGAAUGCCUGAAAGAUAGCCAAAGGAUGCCAAAUUCCAUUAGAACUUCAGUGGAAAACAGAUCAGUUUCCUAUAAUCAAUUUCCUUCAAUAUCUCUGGAAAUUCCAGCCUGGAUAAUACAGUACUAUCUUUGGUAUU
rnacentral:lncRNA from 7 species